rnacentral:rRNA from 1 species
CGCUAGCGGGAGGCCUAACACAUGCAAGUCGAACGGGAUUGAGAGCUUGCUCUCAUGAGAGUGGCGCACGGGUGAGUAACGCGUAUGCAACCUACCUAUAACUGAGGGAUAGCCCAUAGAAAUGUGGAUUAAUACCUCAUAGUUCUUUUGAACCGCAUGGUUUAAAAGAUAAAGCUCCGACGGUUAUAGAUGGGCAUGCGUGACAUUAGCUAGUUGGUAAGGUAACGGCUUACCAAGGCUACGAUGUCUAGGGGUUCUGAGAGGAUGAUCCCCCACACUGGUACUGAGACACGGACCAGACUCCUACGGGAGGCAGCAGUGAGGAAUAUUGGUCAAUGGGCGCAAGCCUGAACCAGCCAUCCCGCGUGCAGGAUGAAGGCCCUAUGGGAAAGGGAACUGCUUUUAUACACCAAGAAAAACACCCA